GGGUGAGUAACACGUAUGGAACCUGCCCGUAGCAGGGGGAUAGGCGGAAGAAAUUCCGUCUAAUACCGCGUAAUAACUCCGAGAGGCAUCUCCUGGGGUUUAAAGGGUAACACCGGCUACGGAUGGCCAUGCGGCGCAUUAGCUAGUUGGCGGGGUAACGGCCCACCAAGGCGACGAUGCGUAGGGGUUCUGAGAGGAAGGUCCCCCACACUGGUACUGAGACACGGACCAGACUCCUACGGGAGGCAGCAGUGAGGAAUAUUGGUCAAUGGGCGCGAGCCUGAACCAGCCAAGUCGCGUGAGGGAAGACGGUCCUAUGGAUUGUAAACCUCUUUUGUCGGGGAGCAAAAGACGCCACGCGUGGCGUUCCGAGAGUACCCGAAGAAAAAGCAUCGGCUAACUCCGUGCCAGCAGCCGCGGUAAUACGGAGGAUGCGAGCGUUAUCCGGAUUUAUUGGGUUUAAAGGGUGCGCAGGCGGAAGAUCAAGUCAGCGGUAAAAUUGAGAGGCUCAACCUCUUCGAGCCGUUGAAACUGGUUUUCUUGAGUGAGCGAGAAGUAUGCGGAAUGCGUGGUGUAGCGGUGAAAUGCAUAGAUAUCACGCAGAACUCCGAUUGCGAAGGCAGCAUACCGGCGCUCAACUGACGCUCAUGCACGAAAGUGUGGGUAUCGAACAGGAUUAGAUACCCUGGUAGUCCACACAGUAAACG
rnacentral:rRNA from 1 species